CUUUAAUGCUCAUUUCAGCAUUUGUCAUUUGGAAUAAUUAAAUUUCUAACAUGGGAAAUAUAUGCAAUAGGUGAAAGGUAAAUUAUUUAUUUUAUAUUAUGUUUUCUACAACUGGAUACAUUUUCCAUCAGAAAAGAAGAAGAUAAAGAUGAAGACGAAGAAGACGAAGAAGAGGAGGAAGAAGAAGAAGAAGAAGAAGAACAAGAAGAAGAAGAAGAAGAAGAAGAAGAAGCAAAACCACCAUUCAAAAUCUCUUUUAAGUCAGUUGUGCAGUGCACAGAGGGAUCCCUUGGACUUUGCGGCCUAUUCAACAAGGCAAGUCUGAUUUAUGGUACUAUGUGAUAUGAAAUCAGUGUGUGUACUCACAAUAAAAGUGUGUACACAUUCAAAGUGUGUAUAUGUGUGUGCUUGUUGUGCAUAUGUAUGUGUUGAGUGCUCCUUACUAU
rnacentral:lncRNA from 1 species